rnacentral:rRNA from 1 species
UACGAGGGGGGCGAGCGUUGUUCGGAAUUAUUGGGCGUAAAGAGCUCGUAGGCGGUUUGUUGCGUCGGCUGUGAAAUCCCGAGGCUCAACCUCGGGUCUGCAGUCGAUACGAGCAAACUAGAGUGUUGCAGGGGAGACUGGAAUUCCUGGUGUAGCGGUGAAAUGCGCAGAUAUCAGGAGGAACACCGGUGGCGAAGGCGGGUCUCUGGGUAGU